rnacentral:misc_RNA from 1 species
CAAAUGCGAUACGCAAUGCGAAUUGCAGAAUUCCGCGAGUCAUCAGAUCUUUGAACGCAAAUGGCGCUCGGUUAAACAAUACCCGAGCAUGUUUGUUUCAGUGUGUAAGGAAUCAAAAAUCUUAAUGCGAUUGAAUGUUUCUUUAAUUAGAGAAUUCUCUCGUUAAACAAGAAAGCACUGAAUUGUUCAGUGCCGAUCGAAGUAGUCACUUCUUCGCGAGUGAUCUCGAUUGUGCAAUACUGAAGAUUCAACUAAAGUGUCUUAUUUGUAAAAUAUUUUACAAAAAAAAAAUCUCCACUCUACACCUGAAAUCAAGCAAGAUCACCCGCUGAACUUAA